rnacentral:rRNA from 1 species
AUUGAACGCUGGCGGAAUGCUUUACACAUGCAAGUCGAACGGCAGCACGGGGCAACCUGGUGGCGAGUGGCGAACGGGUGAGUAAUACAUCGGAACGUGCCCAAUCGUGGGGGAUAACGUAGCGAAAGUUACGCUAAUACCGCAUACGAUCUACGGAUGAAAGCGGGGGAUCGCAAGACCUCGCGCGAAUGGAGCGGCCGAUGUCAGAUUAGGUAGUUGGUGGGGUAAAGGCUCACCAAGCCGACGAUCUGUAGCUGGUCUGAGAGGACGACCAGCCACACUGGGACUGAGACACGGCCCAGACUCCUACGGGAGGCAGCAGUGGGGAAUUUUGGACAAUGGGCGCAAGCCUGAUUCAGCCAUUCCGCGUGCAGGAUGAAGGCCUUCGGGUUGUAAACUGCUUUUGUACGGAGCGAAAAGGCUCUCUCUAAUACAGGGGGCUCAUGACGGUACCGUAAGAAUAAGUACCGGCUAACUACGUGCCAGCAGCCGCAGUAACAC